rnacentral:ncRNA from 1 species
AUGUUAAAUGAAGUGAGAGGAUAGCACUCCCCUUGGUAAGGAUGGAAGAAGUCCUAGUGGUCUUUAGAACACAUAUACAUAGUUAAGGCAGUGCCACCUACUCUAUGGCAUCAAACCAUGGUUUGGG